rnacentral:rRNA from 1 species
UUCCGGUUGAUCCUGCCGGACCCCACUGCUAUCGGGAUAGGACUAAGACAUGCUAGUCGAGCGCCUCCUAGCUAUGAAAGAGGCGCGGCAGACAGCUCAGUAACACGUGGCUAACCUGCCCUCGGGACGGGAAUACCCCCGGGAAACUGGGGCUAAUUCCCGAUAGGCGAAGAACUCUGGAAUGAGUCUCCACCCAAAAGACGUUUGAUUCAUGCUAUCAGGCGUCGCCCAAGGAUGGGGCCGCGACCGAUCAGGUAGUUGGUGAGGCAACGGCUCACCAAGCCUUUUACCGGUACGGGCCGUGAGAGCGGGAGCCCGGAGAUGGGCACUGAGACAAGGGCCCAGGCCCUACGGGGCGCAGCAGUCGCGAAAACUUUGCAAUACACGAAAGUGUGACAGGGCUAUCCCGAGUGCCAUCCGCUGAGGAAGGCUUUUACCCAGUAUAGAUAGCUGGGAGAAUAAGGAGAGGGCAAGACUGGUGUCAGCCGCCGCGGUAAUACCAGCUCUCCGAGUGGUGUGGAUGUUUAUUGGGCCUAAAGCACCCGUAGCUGGCUGGGUAAGUCCCCUGUUAAAUCCACCGAAUUAAUCGUUGGACUGCGGGGGAUACUGCUCGGCUAGGGGGCGGGAGAGGCCGACGGUAUUCCCGGGGUAGGGGUGAAAUCCUAUAAUCCCGGGAGGACCACCAGUGGCGAAAGGCUGUCGUCUAGAACGCGCCCGACGGUGAGGGACGAAAGCUGGGGGAGCGAACCGGAUUAGAUACCCGGGUAGUCCCAGCUGUAAACGAUGCAGCUAGGUGUUUGGGCGGCUACGUGCCGCUCUAGUGCCGCAGGGAAGCUGUAAGCCUGCCGCCUGGGGAGUACGGCCGCAGCUGAAACUUAAAGGAAUGGCGGGGAGCACACAGGGUGAGCUGCG